CAGCUCCAGGCUUCACCACUCUGGCAGCGAAAUGCAGCUCCCAACCUGACUUCCUGAAAGCAGCAGGGGACAGCUGCUGAAACCCCAUCAAUCCAGACAAAGUCAACAUGACCUGUGGAUGCAGUCCAGCUCUGCCAGGAAGGACCUAACAGUGAGUGCGGCUGAGGAAAUAUUAUUGCAGCCUAAAAGGCUUUCUCAUGCAGGCUUCUAUUUUGGUGUACUGGAUCUUGUUGGGUGAAAAUACCCGGG
rnacentral:lncRNA from 1 species